rnacentral:lncRNA from 1 species
GACACGGCAGCAUCAGACUUGUCCAUACCUGCAGUUUAUGUGGCGAAUGCUCCUGUGGAGAAGCGGUUGAGCUCGACGUCACACAGCACACAAAUGCA